AGUAAGAUUGCUAGCUAAAAUCCUCUAGGGUGGCCGGCCUCUUAGAGAGAAAAAUGGAGCUUGUUUUCUCAUCUUUUCUCUAAAAGAAACCCUAAGGAUGAAAUGGCUAUAAAGUUGCCUUUAUACUACCUCACAAUGGAGUGGCAAACUUGCAAUUAAGCCAAGUUCACUACCCCUCUCUAUGGCCGGUUUUCCCAAGCCUUUGGGCUGUUUUGGGCUUCUGGAAUUUUGUUUGUUAAGUUGUCAUACAACUUAAGCUAAUGGGCUUGACGAUUCGAAGCCCAAUUUGGGCUUUAAGGCCCAAAACUAACUCAAGGUUUAAAACGAACUUAUUCAUUUGAUUAAUUAACAUAUUAAUUAAUUCUUGCCAUAAACAUUUAAACCAUUUAAUUGUCCUUACUCAUCUCUGUUGUUUCUUCAAUCUCUACCUUACACGGUGUACGAUCCAUCAGGUUCCUUUUAGUAAGGUAGUGGGCGAUUAGAACUCUUUCAAAUCGAUUGUGAAUUGAAACUUAUUUUCAAUUCUCCCUUUAGUGAUUAUACACGUUUAGGGCUCCACAAACCAUGAGUGACACCUAGCAGUAUGUCAUGGUUACCCAAGCUAAUCAGAAGAGGUGGAGAACCUAUUCAGUUUAGGAUUACAAUGAAAUACGGUCUUUCUCUAAUAGAAUACUCUUGACCACAUUGUUUGGUUUGAUAGUUUAUUCAUGUCUACUAUCCAAUGUGAUUCUCUUACUUGUAUGAUUACCUUGAAUUUGAUUUGGAACGACUUCCUAAAUCUUAUUCAUACUCUGGCCAAAGAUUCUUAAUCAUAUCAUAGAGUAUGCUCCCUCAAACAGUUUGAAGGUUAAAGAUCCCUUGUUGCGCAUUCACUUGCCUCCAUGGCUAAUUGGCUUAACCCCAACUAUGCCGUGGACACCCUCUGACGGAAGGACUUUGACAUAGUCAAAGAUCAAGGACCUAACCACAAGGCAACUAUGAUGCCUCAGGUCAAAAGACUACUUUGCAUUAUCCUAACCAUGAGUUCUCAUGUGACAUGAGUAUGAGAACUCCUUGUUGAUCGUGUUCAGUGGACUCAUUCUCUAUUGAGCACCUACAUGCUUGUCGUGGUGUCAGUCACACCAAUGACUCGAGACUAGUCACUCUCCCUAAGAGAAGACAUAACACGUACUGAUCUUAACGGACUGUCAAUGCCCAAUUGGCAAUCCUAUGAUCAAGAACGUUUAGGAUAUGUAUACGGAAGAGAAUGGUCUCAUGAAUCUAACUUCUUUAGAUCGCAUUCUCCCAAUUACAUAUUCCUUGGACUUAUCGUUCAAGCGUAUAACAUUUAUAUGAGAUGGCUUCAAACAAUAAUCUUUGCCCUUUAAAUUAAACUAUAUUAGUUUAACAUGUGAAAUGUCCGUAAAGUAUCAUCAUAUGAUUGGUUUUAGGGCACAUUUCCAACAAUCUCCCACUUGCACUAGAGCCAAUCAGUCUGGUCAUCAAUGAUGAUACCUCUUCUGUAGUCAUUUCAAAAAUGGCUGAGUAGUAGGCCUAGACAAUGGAUAUCUAUAUGUUAUCCAUAGAAGCAAACUUGAGAUAACGACGUCACCAUUAUACAUGAUUCUUAAUCAUGUGGUUUAGUCUCUCAUUUGAGUUCGGAUCUUGAUGAGACCUUAAUUCCCUGGCUUGAGUUAUCGUCCCAUUAGUGUCAUAGUGUCGAUACACUGGAGACACUUUCUGGUUGGAACCGAAUAGAGAGUUCAUAAAUGAACUUUCCCAUCUAAACAACAUUGUUGUAAGCUUCUAUAUGGCAAUAUAUUUUGCAUUCACAAUGGAACACACUAAAGUCAUUACUUUUAAUGUUUCCAUCCAAAUAUCUCUUUAGUCAUAAUAAAAGGAUAUCUGAUUAUCUCUUCAUUCAUAAUGAAGAAAUAUCCAAUGAUGAAUUAGAUUCAUAAUUUAAUACAUUUACGCUUCAAUUACGUUACUCUAAUUCUUCCUCAUUCUUUGAGGAAUAUAUCCUUUAGUAUUUCUUAAAUACUUAAGGAUUCACUUGACAGUUGCCAUGGUUCUGAUCCUGGGCUUGCAUUGAUAUCGUCUUGUACCGAUCUUGGUACAACUGAUAUCAAUGUUUUUCAUACAAUAUGAAAUACAUAAAUCACCUUUCUACGUAUGCAUAAAGGAUUCUAUUUAUGCAUUAUGUUUCUUUAGGAGUCAAAAAGGUACGUUCCCUUUGAGAAGAGCAACUUCCUAGUCUCACUAGAGUUGUCCUUCUGAUUGAAGUUUAUCAUCAUAUGAGAAACUUCCUAGCAUCUUUUGUCUAUCAUUAGGGCUUGAUAUAAUCCAAUUAUAUCGUGAAAUCUAUCAUUAUAGAUUUCCAUCCCAUGUUUAUAGACUAUGUCUCCCAUAUACAUUCUAUCGUUAUAGAAUGUUAAAGUCAUAACUUUAACGAAGAAGUAUUCUUUUCAUUUCCAAAAUUAAUAUAUCAUAUAUGUACACACACACACACAUAUAUAUAUAUAUAUAUUCAAAUUUAGAAACAUGAUUAACUCCCACUAAUCUUUUGUAAACCUAGUAAACAAAAGAUUCAUUUACAUCUUUAUGAGAAAUCAAACGAUUUGAUCUUUCUCUCAUAAGACGCUUAUAGCUCCCACUAGCUUGCUAAGAUUCAUGAUGGAUGGAUCUCUACAACUUACAUGUCUUGUGAUUCAUAGUUUUAGACAUAUAUUAUCAAGACUAUCUUAAUAAUGGUUUCGGAAACCCAUAUUAUGUCCAAACAUUGAAUCACCAUUUAGUUGUAGCUAGCAAUCUUUGAAUUAAUUGAAACCAAGACUAUGUCAAAGAUGGUUUCUUCCAAGUCAACCAUUCUCUUUGAUUGUAGUCACCUUAAGCUACCAAUUAGCUAUGAAGGUUUCAUUAUUUCGGGUCAAAUGGUACUUUACCAUUUCCUUGAGUAUAUGUCGUAUAUACACUCAAUGUAGUCAUAAGGAUUUUCAUUCUUAUUUCUUUCGAAUUAAGAGGUGUAACUCUAUGACAUAGUCAUAAAGUUCAAACCAUUCAACUAAGACAGUUUAUAAAUCCUUCUCGACUACCUUGGAGCUUGUGGUGUAGGAACUAGGUUGUUAUAUUUGUUGAUUAUCAUCUUGUCUCUCAAAGAACCCAUUCUUUGAGUUCUAUCUCUCGUUCAUUUGUGCUUAGGCAAAUCAUAUAGUAGGAUUACAAUGAACUACCCAACAAAACAACAUUUGUUAGUUGGUUUAUAGAAGUGAUAUCCAAAGGUUAAUUUAAGGAUAUCCACAAGAUAAUUCUCAAACAAAUAUUGCUUAUUAGCACACAACCCCAAAUCUUAACACGAUUAAGACUUAUCUUUCUUUCCAACUACAUCCUAUGGAGUUAUAAAAAUUUUGGAAGAUCUUCUAAUUGACAAUCAUAUUGUCUUAGAAGUAUAUAUCCUAUAUAUGGGUAAUUGAUAACAUCCAACAAACUAAAUCUUAUUCAAGUUCGUUCUUCUCCUAAUGGAGAAAUCCAUUAUCUUAUGAUGCUUCUUUCCUUGAUAUCUUUCAAGGAAACUGUUCCAAAGUGUUACCUUUCCUUGGAUCAAAUCUAAGGAGGUAAAUACUUUAGACGUCUUACUCAUCAACUUACAUUCUUGAAUUCUUUGAAACCUUUUGCAAAGUAUUCGGACUUGAGUUUAUUCAAAAUAAAUGAUAGUCCAACCUAGAGUGAUCUUCGGUGAAUGUCAUACAACAUGAGUAGUAUUAUGUUGUGGACAAGUGCCACUAACAUCUAAGUGAAUUAACCUCAACAACUUUGCGAUUCUUUCUUCCUUUCCAAAAGAAUAAAGAUUCAAACAUUUUGCCUCUAUACAAUUUUAACAAGAAGGCAUUGGAUCCGGAUCUAACGAUCCAGAGCAUCCAUCUAUGACCAACUCGUAAUUUAUGUUUUAGAGGUAUCACAACUCAGUUGGGAUUAGUCACUACCUUGCAACCUUUUGGGUUUUAAGCAUCGUUAUAUUCUAAACAGUUAACACUACCAUAUCAUCUCUAUUAUAGAGAUAAUCAAUUAGAUUACAAUAAUCUAAUCAUUCAUUAAUAAAGAACAAUGUUUUGUCAAACAAAACAUUUAUCCAUUUCUCAUACGGAAUUAAGUUCCUUUAUUCAAUUGGAAUGUAAAGACAAUCUUUGUUUUUCAUUUUCUUUGGUAGUUCAUAUGAGGAAGCAAGUACUACCUGCUUUCGCAGAGAUCUACAUUUGAUUCACGUUCCGAAUGUGAAGUACUUUCUCUUCUCUCAUUAAUCUUCUACUUCUUAUUAGCUACACUUUUACAACGAUUGUAAAACAUAGUUACUAAUACAAAAUCAAGCAUUCAAGUAGAAGAACCAACUGUUUUGAACUAUUCAAGAACAAUUUACAACACCUUCGAAAGGUGUGUUCUUGACACUUGCAAGACAUUUCUUGCAAAUACCCCUUCCAAUGUCCAUCCUUUCAUAAAGAAAGUUUGUUCCCUUGGAGUUAUUUCGCCUUCUUCAUUUGACUUCUCCUUUGACUACAAUAGUCAUGGUCUCUAAACUCCCACUAUCUCUCUUGAAACUUAUUUCAAUUGUGUUACACACAUCAAACAAUUUGGAGAGCGUGUGGUUAUUGUUCACUAUAUAGUUUACAAUCAACUUAGUGAACCAUUUGGAUAGGGACACAAAAGUGAAGUCCUUGCCUAGUUUUCGUCUCGUGAAGUGGUUUUAACACUUCAACACUCAAUGAUUCAAAAUCAUCAUAAGUCCAUGUUGAUGGACUAUUUUUGUCAACCAACCAUUAUGUUCUAAACAUAAUUACAAACUUUCAAGAGUUGUUCAAGGCAACUCUCAUUUCUUCAUACAACAAUUUGUAAGUGAAGAAUCAUGGCACAUAAAAUGUACAUGCCCUUGUGCUUACUUCUCAAGUUCCUUGUUCAUGUAACAAAGAAACAAGCACUAAUGUUUGCGUUAAGUAAGAGUUGUUCAAAGCAAUUCUUACUUCUUCAUACAACAAUUUGUAAUUGAAGAAUUAUGACAUUAAAAGUGUUGUCCUCUUUAUGAUAGACUUAUCUAACAUGUUCUUCCAAUGAUACAUUAUCAAUAGGAAGAUUGUGAGGAUGAUACUACUUAGGUACAUAUACAAUCCAUUUAAGACAAUCUAUGGGAUUGUGGUACCAAGUCCGGAAACUAAAGCUUUCGGCUUUUUCUUUGUCAAGUUUUGGAUAGCGUUUGCAAAUAUAUUGGUAAAUAAAUACAUAACGAAUAUAAAUUGAUUGAUUUUAAGCCAUUUGAUUCGGGUUUUUAAAUCAAAUAGCACCACCCACUAUUUUUUGGCAAAUUCCAUAUCCCUCAUCGGAAUUCAAGAGUUUUGGAGGAAACUCUUAGUAGGGUAUGAGAGACUCAUCAUUACCAAGCCCACCUCACAAUGAUAUGAUGUUGGCUAGCAUCAAUAAUAAUGAGAGAGUACGCUUACUCAUUUGCAUCUCUUGCAAGUACCCAUCUUAUUUGGCCUCUAGAGAAUGAAGCCUCACAAUGAUAUGAUGUUGGCUCCAUUGCACUUAGUUAAGUCAUUCCCACCAUGCAAGUUUGAGUAGGGGUUUAAAAACAACCUUACAAUGAUAUGAUGUUGAUCAUUCUCGUUGCCUACCUUCACAACAUCAUGUAUGCAUAUAGAACUCCUCCUGAGUGUAAGCACGCACUUUGUACUCCCCCAUGAUAGGGUGAAAUCGGUGUACGAGUCACAAACGAUCGGAGCCUACCACGGUGGAAGGCCACGAAAGAGUGUUCAAAGUACUCUCACGCUUAUCAACUUAAUAAUGGUUUGGUUGAGGGUUUUAGGUCUCAUCACAUAUAAGCAUGCAUUUUAAUCUUAUUAAAACAAUUUGGUCCUAUUACAACUAUUGGUCCAUGUGAUUGAUUUAGUUGUACAUGAUACUCCCACUAUGCUUGUAAAACGGUUUUUAAAGCAAAAGUAUAUGGUACUACUAACAUAAGGUUUGCAUUCAUUGAUGGACUAUAUAGUUGCCUUAGGGCCUUAGGAUGACUAUGAACCUUUGAUUCUAUCCAACACUAGCCUAGUGUUGAAUCUCGGUCUAGGGAUGGUGAUUGAUUUUAGUUACACGUUUAAUCACAUUAAGGUGUGUUUUUCCUAUUGGGCGUUGGACCCAACUACUCCAAUUUCAUGCAUAUCAAUAUAACAAGAAAGGAGUACUUCAAAGUAAAGAAGAGCUUAUGCUCUUUUACAACAUUUGAUCAAAACAAAUUACUUUAAAGUAAAGAAGAGCUUAUGCUCUUUUACAACAUUUGAUCAUAUCAAAUUACAACCAAAAUCUAAUCUACACAUUCCCAUGGUUCAAACAAAUUUGAGAUGGGCCUUUCACAUAGCUCAAUUAUCGUAGGCUUAGGUUCAUAAUCACCAUUUCCUUAAUUUAUUAACGCUUUAACUAAUUAAACUUGAAUGCAACAUUUUCAUUUGGUUUUUGUUUCCAUAGAAUUGAUUUAAAUGGAGCUAAAUGAAAUGAAAAUCCAAUUCUCAUUUAAAGAUACAAAACUAUUUUGUUCUCAACUAAUUUGGGCCGAAAAGCAAUAACCUCAACCAUUGUGCUAUUUUGCAAAACACAAACUUUUGAGGUCCCUUUGUAAAAACACAAAAGUCCACUACUUCAUGUAAUUACAACUAUAACCCAAAAAUUUCAACAAAUGCAAAAACUUCAUUAAAGGAGCAAAACAAUUUGUCCUUUAGUGAUUUUGGGCCUUUACGUAAAAACGUAAACUUUCGGAUCAAAGUACAAAUACACAAAAGUAUCAAAACUUUAUGUAAUUGCAUAAAGGCCCCAAAAGUACCCUAUUUAAUAGGGUGGCCUAUUUUGGAUGAGAGAUGGUGUCAUAAAACUUUCGAAUUUUUCAACAAAAGUGAAAGGUGAUGAGUAGGUUGAAAAAGUGAUUUCCAUAAAACAUGGUUCCUUGAAACAAGGAAAAUGUGUAAGUGAUUGGUAUGGUGUUGAUUGAAAAAGGACAACUACAAUAAAGUCACACCAACCACCAUAAACAAAACUUUAUGAAAAACAUCAAACACUUUGAAUCAAAACACCAAAACUUUUUGUUCUUGGUUAGAACAUAACAAGAACAAUGAAGAACAUCCAUGAAAACCCAUAAGAGCUCCAUGAACAUUUUUCACCCAAAGACACCCCAAAAACUCUCAAACUUAAGGGAAAAAACAUAUUACCAUACUAGGGUACUUAGGGGUUCCUAAUGUCACUUUAAAACACUUUUAACAAGACAAACAUGAACCCAAAAAUCCACCCUUUGGAUUUGGCCGAAUUUCCCCAAAAACAUGGCACCAAAUUUUAGCUCCAAAAUUCAUGCUCAUUUGAACUACAUCUACAACAUUUGAGAUGGCAAAUUUUCUACAAAAUUUACAUUCAAAGAAGCAAGAAUAAAGCUUGUAACAAUCACAACAUCAAAUCAUAAACUAUGAAAAUACAAAACCCAAAAGGAUUCACCAACUACUAGACCUAGGCUCUUGAUACCACUUGAAGGAAAUUUUGUGAAAAACAUGUUCAUUUGAGCAACAUCUAUGGCAUGCAAUUAACAAUUAAAGGCGGAAUGAUGCUUGUAUGCACUCAAAAACAAAACAUUACCCAUGAAAUUCAAAGCCUAGUAGAAGGGUGAACCAAGACUCAACUCACAAAGUGAGUUGAGAAACUUUAUACCUUUGUUGAUUCCUCUUUGAAUAAGCAAAGGCUAAUCACCCAAGGAGAGGGCCUUCAUUCUUGCUUCUUAGCUCCAUGGAUUUCUUGGAUGAGGAUGGUUGAAAGGAUUCUCCAAGUUCCCAAAGUUGAGAACCUCUAAGUCUCCACACCAAGGUAGGACUUGAAGAAGAGAUGAGUGACCUAGAGGAAGUAAGAUUGCUAGCUAAAAUCCUCUAGGGUGGCCGGCCUCUUAGAGAGAAAAAUGGAGCUUGUGUUCUCAUCUUUUCUCUAAAAGAAACCCUAAGGAUGAAAUGGCUAUAAAGUUGCCUUUAUACUACCUCACAAUGGAGUGGCAAACUUGCAAUUAAGCCAAGUUCACUACCCCUCUCUAUAUGGCCGGUUUUCCCAAGCCUUUGGGCUGUUUUGGGCUUCUGGAAUUUUGUUUGUUAAGUUGUCAUACAACUUAAGCUAAUGGGCUUGACGAUUCGAAGCCCAAUUUGGGCUUUAAGGCCCAAAACUAACUCAAGGUUUAAAACGAACUUAUUCGUUUGAUUAAUUAACAUAUUAAUUAAUUCUUGCCAUAAACAAUUAAACCAUUUAAUUGUCCUUACUCAUCUCCGUUGUUUCUUCAAUCUCUACCUUACACGGUGUACGAUCCAUUAGGUUCCUUUUAGCAAGGCAGUGAGUGAUUAGAACUCUUUCAAAUCGAUUGUGAAUUGAAACUUACUUUCAAUUCUCCCUUUAGUGAUUAUACACGUUUGGGGCUCCAUAAACCAUGAGUGACACCUAGCAGUAUGUCAUGGUUACCCAAGCUAAUCAGAAGAGGUGAAGAACCUAUUCAGUUUAGGAUUACAAUGAAAUACGGUCUUUUUCUAAUACAAUACUCUUAACCACAUUGUUUGGUUUGAUAGUUUAUUCAUGUCUACUAUCCAAUGUGAUUCUCUUACUUAUAUGAUUACCUUGAAUGUGAUUUGGAACGACUUCCUAAAUCUUAUUCAUACUCUGGCCAGAGAUUCUUAAUCAUAUCAUAGAGUAUUCUCCCUCAAACAGUUUGAAGGUUAGAGAUCCCUUGUUGCGCAUUCACUUGCCUCCAUGACAUGAGUAUGAGAACUCCUUGUUGAUCGUGUUCAGUGGACUCAUUCUCUAUUGAGCACCUACAUGCUUGUCUUGGUGUCAAUCACACCAAUGACUUGAGACCAGCCACUCUCCCUAAGAAAAGACAUAACACGUACUGAUCUUAAUAGACUGUCAAUGCCCAAUUGGCAAUCCUAUGAUAAGGAACGUUUAAGAUAUGUAUACGGAAGAGAACGGCCUCAUGAAUCUAACUUCUUUAGAUCGCAUUCUCCCAAUUACAUAUUCUUUGGACUUAUCGUUUAAGCGUAUAACAUUUAUAUGAGAUGGCUUCAAACAAUAAUCUUUGCCCUUUAAAUUAAACUAUAUUAGUUUAACAUGUGAAAUGUCCGUAAAGUAUCAUCAUAUGAUUGGUUUUAGGGCACAUUUCCAACAGCAUCUCCCACAGUUUACUGCUUGAAUUUGAAAUCCUUGAUUGGUUAUUUCUAUGUACGAUUCAGUUGAUUCCAACAAUUUAGAGAGUUUGUCCUCCACCGAAAACUCUUGUGGCACAUUAAGCUGCUGAAGAUGCUCUUUCAAACUUUGAGUGUAGAACUCUGAAUGGGGAUUGUUCCAGCUCCAUUUUGAAUCGCUUCUCAUAUUUAUAUACUCCUGGACAUAAUCUGGAAAAUAUUUCCUCUCUGGACAUUGCAAGAUAUCAUGGGUCUUUGAAUUGCAAAGAGCACAAAUUGUAGGCUUAAAUCCAUAAUAACCCAUUUCUGUUAAUGAAACCCAAAUAGGUGGUCCACCGGGUUUCAUAUUGAAUUCAGGGGGAAGUGCAAAUUCCAUCGUUGCAUUGCUUGUAACCUACAAAAACAAAAUCAGCAAUUAAAUAAAAAGAUAUAUACAAUAAUAAUUAACUAAGAGUUGAUAGACACAAAUCAUUUAAAACAAUCCCCAGCAAUGGCGUCAAUUUCUUAAUAGGGAUUUUACCACCUGUAAAAGUAGGGAUAAAAAUACUUAAAAUACUUCCAAGAGUGCAAGGUAAUUGUAGUAUAGAUGGCUCUAGUAAGGUCGUUCUCUUCAGGGAUUGAAUGAAUAAUCUAUGUUAAAUCAAAUCUUAAUUAAUUAUUUAAAACAAAGUUUGAAAAAAAAAGUUGAUUUUAUGAUUUAAAAUAAUAAAAAAGAAUUUAAUAGAAAUUAAUUAAAUAAAGUGCCAAAAUAAAAUAAACUAAAAGAAAACAGUUUUUGAAAAUUAAAAUUGUAAAAGCCUAGAGUUCUGCCGUCACCUUAACAAUCAUAUGUAGUUCUUUCAAUUACUUAUGAAUUACCCAUGCAUAUGUUUGAAGGUUAGGUUUUUCUUAUAUAUAUCCUACUUGGAACUUCCAACAUAGAACGUAUAUCUAACAUGCAACCCGUCCGGACGUUCAGAUCAAAUGAACAUGAAAGACUCAUUAUGCUUUAUGAAAACCCUUUGAAAAACCAUGCAACCCUUAAGACGUGGUGUUUAUCCUAAGUGAAAUUACAAUUAUUAACCACAAGAAGCCAGUGCCAAUUUCAGGGAACGUUCCGACUAAAAUUGGAUCAAAUUACCUUUCUAAAUAUCCUAAUAGUCGCAAAUCACUAAGACACUUAGUUUAAAACGGUGAUUAAUAAUUCAAAACAUGCAUGCAUAAUAUCAUAAGUAAAUUGAAAAGAAACUACAUAUUGUUACUAAGGCUCGUGGCCUCGCCCUAGCAAACAAGAAUUAGUUACUAACAACCAUAAACAAAAUAUUAUUAAAAAUAAGGAUAGAAAACACCUUGAAAAAAACUUCAAAAACCCUCUAAAGUAGUGCGUGCGUUUCCUCCACUCUUCUCCUCCUUAACCUAAUGGCUAAAUAUCUUAUUCAUACUACUACAAAAUAAAACCCUAAAAGGUCUUAGAAUGAAACUAGGAAACAUAAUAAAGUCAUAAAACAGAAAAUAAAAGGUUUCCUAUUUGAACUAAAAUUCGGACUUCUCAGAAAAUCAUAUUUUUGGCUAAACAACUUAAAUCCGAUUUGGUCCCAAAAGAUCUCUUUUGAUAGCUGAAGACAUUCCCUACAAAUCCUCAGAAGGAAUCUUCCUUAAAAUAUGCCAUCUUGACCUCCAAAAUACCCAAAACGUCCAGGAACGUCAAUCUGGAAAAGCUGAGCGCUGGGCCUUAAUUUCAUCACCACAGUUAAACGGCUUGGUAGAAAAAUCUGGAAUUUUGAUACAAUCAUCUUGAAAGGCACAUGAACAUCCUCCAAUUAAAAUCACUCCAAAAUUCAUCCGUUUGAUCACUUUUUUCUCCAGAGGAUGUCGAAUUUCCUACAUUAAGAAUAUAAAUCAAAGUAUCAAAAUUCUACCAAAAUAACAAAUAAAUUAAUACUAAGAAUAGGGUAAAUAUAUAGUAAAACAUCAACUCAUCAAAAUGGAUUUUUUUGUGAUAGAACCAUGAGGAAAAAUGGUUUUGUUUUAUAUCAUGAUAUGCAUGUUGUUUUAUGCUACAAAUUAAUGUGAUGACUUGAGAAUGAAGGGGGCAUAGCGACCGCCUUGGGUUUCGAUCCCCUAAACCUCCGGAAGGGCUACUACAAAGUGAUUAGUAUUGCUGCCUUUCUAGGAGAGGUACUAGGAUAUCUAAGGGUAGAGCAUUAAAGGACACUCUUGCUACACCUUACCAGAAGUAUAUUCGUUUGGAGUUGGCCCAGGUAAGGAAUAGUUGGUCAUUAGACCGGUCAUCAGGCAUGUAGCAAUUCAUUGGGAUUCUUGUUUUCUUUUUAAAAGGAAAUUGUGUGAGCAUACAAUCUUUUUUCAAAGCUAAACAAAGCUUUUGUUGUGCAUCAAUCAUUUUCCUAUAGUAUAUGUAGUAUCGUAUACUCUUUUCAAACCUAGCUGGGGUGGAUUCCCUGAGGGGGAGUGAUGAACGUUUGUGAUGCUCACCUCUACUUUAUUACAAGACCGGUGCACCUACAAAUAGGCGAUCUGGACUAAAGUCGGGACAAGCGUUGUUUAUUGCUUGUCAACUUCUUAAUCGCUCAUUGACUUUCCACUGGUUUUGUUUGUACAUAUGCUAUAUUCCCUGCGUCCGAUGGAAUCUUUUGUAGCUAAACUUAGCGCUUUGUACUUUCCAAAUCAUACUUAAGAGUUGGUUAGUAUGUUUACUUGCUUUAAACUCUUUGGUUUUGUUGUAAGUUGUAAACUUCGUUUUGUUGUAAAAAAUUUAUCCAAAUUCCGUUGCCCUUUUAUUCUUCAUUUUACCCAAAUGAUUUCCGCUUCCGUACCGCUUAAAAAUAAAUUAUUUUACUUCCCUUCAAAUAGUCUUACAUUCUAUUGGGAAUGUAGUGCUAUAGUGUUGGAAUUUAACACUAUAAUAUUACGUUACUAAUAGAGCGUGGCACUGUUACGUGCCCUUUUUUUGGGUAUGACAGAAAAAUGGUAUUAGAGCAACGGUUGAUCCAUUUCAAUAGAGUUUUGUUGUCUUUCUUCUAAUUCAUCCGUUGUCGAGUCACAGAACGAGUUGUUGAUUCAAUCUUUUUCAUUUCAGUUACUACUCUAUUAACAAGAU
rnacentral:lncRNA from 1 species